CCAAUAGCGUAUAUUAAAGUUGUUGCAGUUAAAAAGCUCGUAGUUGAACUUCGGGAUCAAUUAGUUGGUCAUGCCUUGGUAUGUACUGAUUUUAUUGGUUCUCACCUUCUAAAGAACUAUAAUGUCAUUUAUUUGAUGUUAUAGGGAAUUAGGACUGUUACCUUGAAAAAAUUAGAGUGUUUAAAGCAGGCUCACGCUUGAAUACAUUAGCAUGGAAUAAUGAAAUAGGACAUCGCAUUCUAUUUUGUUGGUUUCUAGGAUCGAUGUAAUGAUUAAUAGGGAUAGUUGGGGGCAUUAGUAUUCAAUUGUCAGAGGCGAAAUUCUUGGAUUUAUUGAAGACUAACUACUGCGAAAGCAUUUGCCAAGGAUGUUUUCAUUAAUCAAGAACGAAAGUUAGGGGAUCGAAGACGAUCAGAUACCGUCGUAGUCUUAACCAUAAACUAUGCCGACUAGGGAUCGGAUGAUGUUGAUUUUUUAAUGACUCAUUCGGCACCUUACGGGAACCCAAACACUUUGGUUUC
rnacentral:misc_RNA from 1 species